GGUCUCUCAUAUCUGUGAGGAGGAGUCAAUGCAAAACUCAGAUAUCCUCCUCCUCUAAAUAUCUGAGUGCAGAGAGGACAGACAGCAGAGGACACAUAGUUUAACAUGAUGGACUAUAGGACAGGACUGCUGCUGUUAACUAUCUGCUGGGCAGGUGUUCAUGGUCAGACUCUGACACAAUCUGAACCUGCAGUAAAAAGACCUGGACAAUCCCACAGACUGACCUGUACAACAUCUGGAUUCAUGUUCAGCAGCUACUGGAUGGCCUGGAUCAGACAGGCUCCUGGAAAAGGACUGGAGUGGAUCGCUGUUGAUAACAGUGGUGGUUUUAACUCCUAUUCCCAGUCAGUCCAGGGUCGCUUCACCACCUCCAGAGACAACAGCAGAAACCAGCUGUAUCUGCAGAUGAAUAGUCUGAAAACUGAAGAUUCUGCUGUUUAUUAUUGUGCAUGA